GACGAACGCUGGCGGCGUGCUUAACACAUGCAAGUCGAACGGAAAGGCCCUGCUUUUGUGUGGUGCUCGAGUGGCGAACGGGUGAGUAACACGUGAGUAACCUGCCCUUGACUUUGGAUAACUUCAGGAAACUGUGGCUCAUACCGGAUAGGAGCUCCUGCUGCAUGGUGGGGGUUGGAAAGUUUCGGCGGUUGGGGAUGGACUCGCGGCUUAUCAGCUUGUUGGUGGGGUAGUGGCUUACCAAGGCUUUGACGGGUAGCCGGCCUGAGAGGGUGACCGGCCACAUUGGGACUGAGAUACGGCCCAGACUCCUACGGGAGGCAGCAGUGGGGAAUAUUGCACAAUGGGCGGAAGCCUGAUGAAGCAACGCCGCGUGCGGGAUGACGGCCUUCGGGUUGUAAACCGCUUUCGCCUGUGACGAAGCGUGAGUGACGGUAAUGGGUAAAGAAGCACCGGCUAACUACGUG
rnacentral:rRNA from 1 species